CCACCUCCACCUGACCUCAUCACAACCACUGCCAGGUGUACCUGGACACUGCUGAAGCUACUGGGUAAACACACAGCUCUCAGGAGUAGCUCACUGCAGCAGAACAGGGUGGAUUGUGGGUAAAUGAGUUCUAUGAAUAGGGCUAGGCUCAGAUCAGUCCCUGAGUGACCCUGAGCUCAAGAACAGAUUCUAGAGGAAUAGUUACACUGACGUUGUGUUAGUCGUGUGUGUAGCAUCACGUGACCGUUGACAUGUGGUUCAAUGAUGGAGGGAUGGAUGGGAGAGGGGCUCUGUCCAUCAUCUAUUAUUACACACCUGAUUUUAAUUUCUUGAUUUACCUUCAAGGCAAGAGUGGCCUCACCAUCCCCAUCAUCAUUGGGUCUCUUGUUCUCCUCCUCGCUGCUGCUGCUGCUGUUGUUGGAGUCCUUCUGUACAAGAAGCGGAACGCUUCAGACCAGCGACACAAACCAGUUGGUUCUGACACCAGCUCUGAGAACACUGAGGGGCAGAAUCCGCUCCUGAGGCCCAACCUCUGACCACAGGUUAAAGUUAAAUCAUGAAGAGGCUUCUUACAUUCCUCUUCCUAAAGCAGGGUGGAGUGGAUCGCUGUCAUCUAUAAUCAUCACAAUCUGUUUGGGGACUUCAGCUAACUAAGGAUGUUAUAUUUGCUUAAUUACAUUAACAUUUAUACUUUAUUUUGAUAAAAAACAUAAAUCCGUAAGAAGUGUAAAUCAAUUAGAUCUCUGUAUUUGUGAUCGAUUAACUCAAUGGAUUAAUCCUGCAAUCUUUCACUGACCCUUGGAAACCAUGGCAACGUGACCCCGCCAUGAUGGCCAUUUUGUUUUGGGUCUAACUGCCUCAUCUUAUAAGAUUUAAAUUAUGUUUGUUA